rnacentral:rRNA from 1 species
GAACGUACGCUGGCGGCACGCCUAACACAUGCAAGUCGAACGAAGUAGCAAUACUUAGUGGCAGACGGGUGAGUAACAUGUAGGUAUCUGCCCUUUGGCCUGGAAUAACACGAGGAAACUUGUGCUAAUACCGGAUAAGUCUUUACGGAGAAAGCUUUAUGCACCAUUGGAUGAGCCUGCACUUGAUUAGUUUGUUGGUGGGGUAAUGGCCUACCAAGACUGUGAUCAAUAGCUGAUUUGAGAGGAUGAUCAGCCACAUUGGGACUGAGACACGGCCCAAACUCCUACGGGAGGCAGCAGUGGGGAAUCUUGCACAAUGGAGGAAACUCUGAUGCAGCGAUGCCGCGUGAGUGAAGAAGGCCUUUGGGUUGUAAAGCUCUUUCGUCGGGGAAGAAAAUGACUGUACCCGAAUAAGAAGGUCCGGCUAACUUCGUGCCAGCAGCCGCGGUAAUACGAAGGGACCUAGCGUAGUUCGGAAUUACUGGGCUUAAAGAGUUCGUAGGUGGUUGAAAAAGUUAGUGGUGAAAUCCCAGAGCUUAACUCUGGAACUGCCAUUAAAACUUUUCAGCUAGAGUAUGAUAGAGGAAAGCAGAAUUUCUAGUGUAGAGGUGAAAUUCGUAGAUAUUAGAAAGAAUACCAAUUGCGAAAGGCAGCUUUCUGGAUCAUUACUGACACUGAGGAACGAAAGCAUGGGUAGCGAAGAGGAUUAGAUACCCUCGUAGUCCAUGCCGUAAACGAUGUGUGUUAGACGUUGGAAAUUUAUUUUCAGUGUCGCAGGGAAACCGAUAAACACACCGCCUGGGGAGUACGACCGCAAGGUUAAAACUCAAAUGAAUUGACGGGGACCCGCACAAGUAGUGGAGCAUGUGGUUUAAUUCGAAGAUACGCGCAGAACCUUACCAACACUUGACAUGUUCGUCGCGACUCUAAGAGAUUAGAGUUUUCGGUUCGGCCGGACGAAACACAGGUACUGCAUGGCUGUCGUCAGCUCGUGUCGUGAGAUGUUGGGUUAAGUCCCGCAACGAGCGCAACCCUCACUUUUAGUUGCCAUCAUUAAGUUGGGCACUCUGAAAGAACUGCCAGUGAUAAGCUGGAGGAAGGUGGGGAUGACGUCAAGUCCUCAUGGCCCUUACGUGUUGGGCUACACACGUGCUACAAUGGUAUCUACAACAGGAAGCAAGACUGCGAAGUUAAGCAAAUCCCUAAAAGAUACCUCAGUUCGGAUUGCACUCUGCAACUCGAGUGCAUGAAGCUGGAAUUACUAGUAAUCGUGGAUCAGCGUGCCACGGUGAAUGCGUUCCCGGGUCUUGUACACACCGCC